CGUACACUCCUGCGGGAGGCAGCAGUGGGGAAUAUUGGACAAUGGGCGCAAGCCUGAUCCAGCCAUGCCGCGUGAGUGAUGAAGGCCCUAGGGUUGUAAAGCUCUUUCACCGGUGAAGAUAAUGACGGUAACCGGAGAAGAAGCCCCGGCUAACUUCGUGCCAGCAGCCGCGGUAAUACGAAGGGGGCUAGCGUUGUUCGGAUUUACUGGGCGUAAAGCGCACGUAGGCGGACUAUUAAGUCAGGGGUGAAAUCCCGGGGCUCAACCCCGGAACUGCCUUUGAUACUGGUAGUCUUGAGUUCGAGAGAGGUGAGUGGAAUUCCGAGUGUAGAGGUGAAAUUCGUAGAUAUUCGGAGGAACACCAGUGGCGAAGGCGGCUCACUGGCUCGAUACUGACGCUGAGGUGCGAAAGCGUGGGGAGCAAACAGGAUUAGAAACCCUGGUAGUCC
rnacentral:rRNA from 1 species